rnacentral:rRNA from 1 species
AUUGAACGCUGGCGGCAUGCCUUACACAUACAAGUCGAACGGUAACGGGUCCUUCGGGAUGCCGACGAGUGGCGAACGGGUGAGUAAUAUAUCGGAACGUGCCCAGUAGUGGGGGAUAACUGCUCGAAAGAGCAGCUAAUACCGCAUACGACCUGAGGGUGAAAGGGGGGGAUCGCAAGACCUCUCGCUAUUGGAGCGGCCGAUAUCAGAUUAGCUAGUUGGUGGGGUAAAGGCCUACCAAGGCAACGAUCUGUAGUUGGUCUGAGAGGACGACCAGCCACACUGGGACUGAGACACGGCCCAGACUCCUACGGGAGGCAGCAGUGGGGAAUUUUGGACAAUGGGGGCAAGCCUGAUCCAGCAAUGCCGCGUGCAGGAAGAAGGCCUUCGGGUUGUAAACUGCUUUUGUCAGGGAAGAAAUCUUCUGGGCUAAUACCCCGGGAGGAUGACGGUACCCGAAGAAUAAGCACCGGCUAACUACGUGCCAGCAGCCGCCGCCG